AUGUACAUUUAAUGUCCUCUUCACAAGGAGGGUUUAAUUCAUAUUAUGAACAUUUCUUAUCAACAACCCUAUAAGAAGAAGGACCUCUGUUCUACAGCUUGUGGUGGAUCAUUGAUCACAUGAUAAUCAACCAAGUUUAAAGGAAGCAUGUACAUGUAACCACAAUAGAAAGAUUUAAGGAUUGUGAGAAACCAAAUAUGACACAUCAGAAUAAAGUCCAUGGGAGUAUGAAAAAAAGAAUAGUAGAGUGUAAUCCUCAGAACUUUCUUCAGACUUCCACAAAGUCAGGAAAAUACUGUUGAACUGACAAAAUGAACAAAAUCAUGAUUCUCAAAAAUUGAAGGAAGACGUGUGAGUUAAGACUUUUGAUGACAAUUAAGAAUCAACCAUUGGAAAUACAGCUUUGAACUUGGAUCUCAUUAUUGAUGCUUGCAUGAUGGUGGACUGAGGAAGAAAACCAGGACAAAAGAAAAUUCCUUGUGUUCGUCAGAAAAAAUAAAUCAUGCAGCCAUUUUGAGUGCUUGAAUGCCCAACUGAGAGAGCCAGCCAGUGCUGAAAAUAUUUCUUGGAAGUUAAACCAAAUCUGCUGUGACAAUUGAAUUAAAGCUUUAAAAGUACAUUUAAAAACAUACUGAUUCAUCUAUAAGUGAGACUUGAUUGCCUUUGACAGUUGCCAGUGGAAUUCAGAUCUUUGUACCAGUAUUAACAGUAUUAAUAUAUUGAAGUGAUUCGCCUUAAAAUUACAUUUGUAUAUGGUGUAAUUACCUCAAGGAGAUAUAACACACCUGGUUAAACAGUAAUUAAGGUUCAUAGCUAAACAUGGAUAUGGAAUUUAGCUUACCUGAUCCAAAAGGGAAUUAAUGACAUUGCACAAUUCUGAUAAAAAGAAGUCUCUGGUAUCCAACAAUGCAACAUUUAUAUGUUUGACUGUUUGUCCUCCAUUAACUUUUAACAUUUUCUAUUUUUUUUUCUAACAUUUGUUCAGUGUAAACCACAUUUAUACAAUGUAUCUCUGCUUAAAAGGAAUAAAGCUUAUUAAAAUAAA